AGGACUAGGCGCGUGCCACGCGCUGCUGCUCCAGCCAGCCCUGCGUCCUCAACGUCCCAGUUUCUUCCUUCGAGCCCCGGGAGUGGUAUCGGCGGGAGUUCCGCCCUGCGCGUGGCAGGGAGGGUGGUGCUGGGCCCUGUGCAUUUCCGCUAGGCAAACCCGAGCCCGCGCGACUUGUCUGCCCUACUGAGAACCAGGCAGAGAGGGAACCCAGAAAGUCCAGACGGGUUGCUGAUUAGCACACGAUUCAGAUCCUGUACACGUGUCCCAGGCUACCAGACUCCCUCCCUUCCCCUGCCAACCAGGAACCAGCCUGACUACAAUUACUUACUAUGGAAUGCCCAUCAGUCACAUGGUAUAGAGCCAGCUCCCUCCUCUGAAAUGUAUAAGAAGGGACAUUAUUGUGCCACAUGGGCCUACACUCCCUUCAGGGUACCCACAGUUGUCUUUCAGUCAAUCAAAAUUGUCAACUCGAUUAAUAAAUCUUUGACCCGAAGAGCCA
rnacentral:lncRNA from 1 species